UAAAAUAUCAAACAGGCCCUAUGACAAAGAUGCCAAGCUGGCGUAUUUUUCAGCCGGACUUUUCAUUUUCACUGCGUCUUGAUGGUGAUCAUUUAUUUCAACCAGCAUCCUUGCAUCUUAUCUGACAUACACAUCUUCUUUAUGGCCAGC